AGUCCAAUAUUUGACAGUACCGUGAGGGAAAGCUGAAAAGGACUCUGAAGAGAGAGUUCAAGAGGACGUGAAACCAUUAGAAGCUGAAACGGGUGGAACCGUGAAGGUGGAAAGAGGGGAUUCAGGUCGUGGGCGCGCGCCUCUGCGGCCAGGCGCAGUCUGUGAGAGGACCCGGCGUUAGAGUUUGUUGCCGUGGCCCCUGGCUGUGAGCGCGCGCGCCGGCGGUCUUAGUUCUCCCUCGAGUACGGGUCGUGGCGAGCCGCUGGACGGAGCCCGAGAGCCCCUUGGGACUGGUAGCCUGCACCUUUGGUGUGGGUGAUGACCCUGGGGGUAAUUUGUGGCUGCGGCCGGCGGUGACUGCAAGGAGGCAGGCCGGCCUUGGGCCGGCUGCCUUCUUGGCCCAUGGAGAGUGAUCGGUAAUCCACCCGACCCGUCUUGAAACACGGACCAAGGAGUCCAACAUGUGCGCGAGUCUAAGGGUGGUCUAAACCCGGAGGCGAAAUGAAAGUGAGCCCCUGGUGGGCAGGCCGAUCCCCUGUCCUGGGCCCUUCCGUCCCGGUCCGGCGCUACGUGAGUGAAUUUCCGCGCUGCCGGCCGGGCGGGGGUCCUGGGCGGCCCCGCGAGGGGAGAUGGGGCGCAGGCCGAGGACUUGCCGUCGUGCGGCGCGGGCAACGGGUUUGCUCCUCGCGGGCUCUCCUUAUCCCGAUGUCCGCCGGCAAGUACCUGAGAGCGCAGCCGUUGGGACCCGAAAGAUGGUGAACUAUGCCUGGCGAGGACGAAGCCAGAGGAAACUCUGGUGGAGGUCCGAAGCAGUUCUGACGUGCAAAUCGAUUGUCAGAGCUGGGUAUAGGGGCGAAAGACUAAUCGAACCAUCUAGUAGCUGGUUCCCUCCGAAGUUUCCCUCAGGAUAGCUGGUGUUCGGAUUUUUCGAGUUUCAUCCGGUAAAGCGAAUGAUUAGAGGCCUUGGUGGUGCAAUGCCGUCAACCUAUUCUCAAACUUUAAAUGGGUGAGAGGUAGAGCUUGCUUGAGACGUGAAGCUCUAUGUUGUAGAAUCAGAAUGCC
rnacentral:rRNA from 1 species